AUUGAACGCUGGCGGCAUGCCUUACACAUGCAAGUCGAACGGCAGCACGGGGCAACCUGGUGGCGAGUGGCGAACGGGUGAGUAAUGCAUCGGAACGUGCCAUUGAGUGGGGGAUAACGUAGCGAAAGUUGCGCUAAUACCGCAUAUUCUGUGAGCAGGAAAGCAGGGACCGCAAGGCCUUGCGCUCUUUGAGCGGCCGAUGUCAGAUUAGCUAGUUGGUGAGGUAACGGCUUACCAAGGCGACGAUCUGUAGCGGGUCUGAGAGGAUGAUCCGCCACACUGGAACUGAGACACGGUCCAGACUCCUACGGGAGGCAGCAGUGGGGAAGUUUU
rnacentral:rRNA from 1 species